UGAGGAAUAUUGCGCAAUGGUCGAAAGGCUGACGCAGCGACGCCGCGUGAGGGAUGAAGUCCGUUAGGAUGUAAACCUCUUUUGCAGGGGGUGAACCCGCCGCUACAGGCGGCGGAUGACCGUACCCUGCGAAUAAGGAUCGGCUAACUACGUGCCAGCAGCCGCGGUAAUACGUAGGAUCCGAGCGUUGUCCGGAAUUACUGGGUGUAAAGGGCGUGUAGGUGGGUCUUUAAGUCGGUGGUGAAAUCUUGCGGCUCAACCGCAAAACUGCCGUCGAUACUGGGGACCUUGAGUGCGGAAGAGGGAAAUGGAAUUCAUGGUGUAGCGGUGAAAUGUGUAGAUAUCGGGAGGAACACCAGUGGCGAAGGCGGCCUUCUGGGCCGUUUCUGACGCUCAGACGCGAAAGCUAGGGGAGCAAACGGGAUUAGAAACCCCGGUAGUCCUAGCCGUAAACGAUGUAGACUUGGUGUCGGGGGUGUAAAAACUUCCGGUGCCGAAGCUAACACGAUAAGUCUACCGCCUGGGGACUACGGCCGCAAGGUUA
rnacentral:rRNA from 1 species